GACACCUUACGGUAGAGUAAAUGGAGGAUUUUAGGUCACCUAAAAAGCGGAGAAAACUGUGCCAGCAGGCGAGCAUUCGCGUUUUUUUCAGACAGUAAAGAGACAGGCAAGAUGAGAGCAGUGGCCAGACAGGGACACGCUCUGGACAUGCAGAUGAUCAGGUGAGAAAUUAAUGCAAUUUAGUAUUGCACAUAGACAGUCAUUUUACGUAAGUGGGCUUUCUUUUUCCAUUGGAAGCUAUCCUAUUUGCUACAGUACUACUGUAAAAGCAUAAUUGUAAUUGGUUGGUGUGUUUAAGGUCAGUAAAUAGUAAGCAACUCAGUCACUAUUACAGAGAAAUUACACUAUUCCUUUAGAUGUGAAUUUAAAUGGUCAAUGUGGUCCUCAAAACUGUUUUAAAUGUGCAAAUUUUCAUAUAUGAAUAUAGAAUUGUAGGCCAUGAAAAAAUAAUAAUAUGGGGAAUGGUAUUCAUUUGGACCCCCCCAAUGUCUAAACCAUGGUUACGCCCUUGGUUGUUAGGAAUUUGCGUGCUAUUUGGCAUGAAUUCCAGUGCUGUUUAUUUAAUCAUUCAGGGUUCCCGCGGGUCCUUAAAAAGUCUUCAAAUGCCUUAAAUUAAAAUUUGGGUAAUUAAGGUCUUAAAUUGUCUUAAAUUUUACGUAAAGCUGCUGUAGGUAUUAAUUUUUAAUGACUAGGAGAAAGCACAGUGGUGCGUCGUAAAACAUCUAAUAGUUGAUUGAUUUAGUAUUGUGCGAAAUGAGUCUCCGCAAUUUAAUAGCUGUUUACGGUACGUCGGCUACAGACGCUGACGUCAGGCUGCGUGUCGCCAUUACGCGGUUGUCGAUGUGAGGUUGAAAAUGCAAAGAAGAUGGGGAAGUGCAAAUUUAAUGACAAGUGGAUGGAGGAGGAUGCAUUUAGGAGGUGGUUGGCGCCGAUUGAAAACAACAAUGAGGCAAUGUGUAAACUCUGCAAAAAGACCUUUUCAUUAGGGACCAUGGGGCUCAAAGCCGUCGAGUCGCACAUGAAAGGAGGAAAGUACCAGCGAUGCGUUGCAGCAGCUAGCCAUAGCGGGGCCAGGUUAAUCCCUGCAACGACGUUACAAGUUCAGACGCCACCCCUCAGUCGGCUGUAACAAGUUUCAUUUCAACACCAGACACCCAAAAGGCAGAGGUACUAUGGGUUCUCCAUACUGUGACGAGGCACAAUUAAUUUAAAUCCAAUGAAGACAUACGUGGCGUCUUUGCUGCCAUGUUCCCCGAUUCGCAAUGCAUUGUGUUGUUUAGUGUAAUAUGUAUGUUAUGUUGGCUCUGUUCUGCAUCACAAAGGAAUCACUUUCAUUGUUUACAUCGAUAUUGGCCAAACAGUAUUGGAAGCGUUAUUGUCAGUUAUUAUACUGUCUCCUAAUUUGAAAAAUAGUUUUGAUUUCCAUUGUAGGAGGCAAUAAAUUGCGUAUUCUUAAAUUAUAUUUGUUGAGGUCUUAAAAAGGUCUUAAAAAGCAUUACAUUUUACUUUUGAAACGGUGCAAGAACCCUAUCAUUGAAUGGUCAUGUCGAAGGGCCACUAUGACUUUCGAUGCUCUUUAAGGUGCUGUAGAGUUGACGGGAAUUGUGCCCUUUGGGUUUCUGUGUCGGUGCAGUGGUUUUAGUAGCUGAUACCGUCAUGGUUCUAUACACUCAAUAAAAAUGAUUCAAGCCCUUCUUGGAUGUGAUGAGUUGUUUGUGUUGUAUCAAAUACAUUCAUUAAAUGAGGACCACCCUUUGCGCAUGCGCCACAUUUUGCGCUUUCAGCGUCGUUCUGCCUUUUUUGCUGACUGAAAUUGCAACAUAAUUUUGUCUGGCUCGGGUGAAAAUCCGUUAUUUGGUAAGUAACUGUUUUUUGUUGUAGUGUAUAACAUAACUCUCUGUUAAAUAACGCUUGCACACAAGUUGUGAAUCGUUCUUAAAAGUUAAACUAGGGAAAUUCUCCAUUUCCAUGUCAGCAUUCAAGCUAACGUUAGUUAGCUGAGCUCGUUAGCAUCAUGACCAGAGGUCAGAAAGUCCGUCAUCUUCAAAGCCACAAAGGGGUCAAUCGCUGCCAACGUCGCUCCCUGUCCGUUAACACGGCUAAAGGAGCCAAAGUGCGCAGCUUUAGUAAAUGUUAGCUAACGAUAAUGAAAGUGACGGUGGGCUCUCUGGUGAUGGGCUCUCAUUAGGCAUUUGGGAGAAAGAGAAUAUUACCAACAGUGCAUGAUACAUGUUCAACAACAUGCACAUGAGAACACACAGUGUUUGUUAUUCAUCAAGAAUGUCUUCACGGACUAUUGUGAGUGUAGCCGAGCGUUUAUGGUGCGCCUGUACUUUGUGUUAAUGACAAAACAACAACACGGAGCUCCGACUUUAUUUUUAUCUUUUCCAAGAACACACCCUCAGUUGAACACAUCUUCUACUUCCUCUCCUUCCAUCUCCUCCUUCACAAAAAAACACUCACACCAGAACACUUGCGCAAUAAUAACGCUGACGACGCGGCGCGAGACGACAACCGCGGAUGGGGGGGGCGCGAGACACACGUCCUCUGCAGGUGGUCGUGGCCGGACUGCCGUGAGGAACGGAGCGAGACGCAACAUCAUUUUGUCUGGCUCGGGUGAAAAUUCGUUAUUUGGUAAGUAACUGUUUUUUGUUGUAGUGUAUAACAUAACUCUCUGUUAAAUAACGCUUGCACACAAGUUGUGAAACGUUCUUAAAAGUUAAACCAGGGAAAUUCCCCAUUUCCAUGUCAGCAUUCAAGCUAACGUUAGUUAGCUGAGCUCGUUAGCAUCAUGACCAAAGGUCAGAAAGUCAGUCAGUCAUCUUCAAAGCCACAAAGGGGUCAAUCGCUGCCAACGUCGCUCCAUGUCCGUAAACACGGCUAAAGGAGCCAAAGUGCGCAGCUUUAGUAAAUGUUAGCUAACGAUAAUGAAAGUGACGGUGGGCUCUCUGGUGAUGGGCUCUCAUUAGGCAUUUGGGAGAAAGAGAAUA
ensembl:lncRNA